rnacentral:rRNA from 1 species
CCUACGGGUGGCAGCAGUAAGGAAUAUUGGUCAAUGGACGAAAGUCUGAACCAGCCAUGCCGCGUGAAGGAUGAAGGUCCUCUGGAUUGUAAACUUCUUUUAUAUGGGACGAAAAAAGGCCUUUCUAGGUCGUCUGACGGUACCAUAUGAAUAAGCACCGGCUAACUCCGUGCCAGCAGCCGCGGUAAUACGGAGGGUGCAAGCGUUAUCCGGAUUCACUGGGUUUAAAGGGUGCGUAGGUGGGCAGGUAAGUCAGUGGUGAAAUCCCCGAGCUCAACUUGGGAACUGCCAUUGAUACUAUCUGUCUUGAAUACCGUGGAGGUUAGCGGAAUAUGUCAUGUAGCGGUGAAAUGCUUAGAUAUGACAUAGAACACCGAUUGCGAAGGCAGCUGGCUACACGAAUAUUGACACUGAGGCACGAAAGCGUGGGGAUCAAACAGGAUUAGAUACCCUUGUAGUC